AAAAUUGCAUUAAUUAUAUUUUUUUGAUUUAUUGACCUUAACAAGAAUAGUUAAUUCAUAUAAAUAUUAGCAUUUUAAUUUUUUAUCAGUCUUUUAAAUAAACCGAAUCUCUUUUACGUGUAAAUUGACAGAAUAAUUUUUAAGAGUGAGAAAGUUUAUAAUAAGCUACAGAACUCUCUUAUGAGCGAGAUUUAACACUAUUGCUUG
rnacentral:lncRNA from 1 species